GGGGAAUGCAUAGUGUGGUGGACGCCUGCCUGGUUUUUGUAGUUUUUUUUCUUUCCCCCCCCCUUGUUUGAAGUUUUGGCCAUUCAUUUGUUCUUGAAGACUUCUAUUGUUUUGGCUUUUUUGGAUUAAUAGAAGGCAGUAGUUCAAACAUUUUGUUGUUUUGUCCUGUCUGUCCACCACAUGAGCAAGCGGCUACCCCGAAGCCCUGCCUCACGUUGGAGGAGAAUGCAGACAUAGUGCCCCCUGGUGGAAAAAAAAAAAAAAAAACAGAAAAAAAGAGGAAGCUAUUCCACGUCGGCGGCACUGCACUCUUGCUUCUGAGCCCUCUUCUGGUUGCUGAGGCCUGGGAAAACCUUUGGCUAGAAGACUGUUAAUGCCACAGAAGAAGACAAUGCCCUCUGACAUCCAUGAACAACAGAAAUGAAAGGUUUCAGCCCCUGCACUCUUGGGACACAUUAGAGCUCUGUUUGGAUUGUGUACAGAAAGUGUGGGCUUCCUCGCUGCAGCUCCCUCCCCUGCUGCAGCUGCCCCCCGCGAAUUGAGGACAUUAUGCUAAAAUGGAUGCAAACCAUUCGUUCCCCGGAUUACCAGGACACCCGUUGCUGUAUAAACAAUGAACUUAUUUUGGAUUUUUCCAGCAAAAAGAAAACUACAAACUAGGCAGAAGGAUCCGAUGUAUCUAUUACUGAGCUUACAUGAAAGGUGGAGAGGUAUGGAAAUUACAAUUCACCUGGUGCAUAAUGACAGAAAAGAAUUGUCCGUGUCACGAAACAAAUUGCUUCAUCCGUCCUUAUGUGUCAAGUAUGAACCCACUUACUUUUCCAGGGACAUUGUCAAUGUGUUAAAGUUUCAUUAAUGCAAUAUUUUCCACUGCUACUAUAAUAUUUAGAUGACAAGACUGAUUAUUCAGCUCCAGUGAAAAAGGAAAUAUAAGAACAAGACAACGUCAUCUUCACCUAUUUUUGUUGAAUUAUGCAGUGUAAUUAGUGUAUAUAAUCCAUCUACAACUUGGAAUCAUAGGGCCCAAUAACAGAAUUCAGAACUUUUAUAAUAACUUAAAUAUACUUUUUCUUGUUUACAGUUUAAUUUUACAAUUCCAGUUACAUUUUAUGUGCUUGAUCAUAAUUACUUUAUAUGUUAAUCAUCACAUAAUCACGCAGUAUUUAAACGUGCAGUUAAAAAGUCUAAUUUCUUAUUGAUUUACACAGAUAAUGAAAAUGGAAUGUAAAACCUAUCAACAAUUGAUCAUCCAUGGUAUUAUUUUUAUUAAAACUGGAUUAAUCACACCACCAGUAAUCUUCUAUAAAUAGGGAUCCUAAAGAUGCUUCUCUAGAAGAUACUUUCAGAUCACGAUCACAUCCCAUAUCCACAGUGUCUACUUUGAUUACAUAGUUUUGAAUAAGGUGAAUGAGGGAAGCAGUUACCAGUAGAAUAAUCAUGGUUUUGGUGUUUGCCCGUUUUAAAACGUACACUCCCUGGCUAUAUCUUUUUAAAAUGUAUGUUUUUUUCAGUUAGCUGAAGGAAACAUACGGUUGUAAUAAUGGAAGGCAUACUGUAUUCUGUUUUACCCGCUUGAGUGUCUAUCCAGCUAGUAGCAAUCACUAUACUCAUUACUAAUAUAAAUAUAACCUCCCUUCAUGUAAAAUGUAAUAUAAUUAUUGGGCAAACAAAAUGACAAGGUACCUGGUGUCAAAUGAAAUUCUGGUUACGCCAGUUGGGUUAAGCUGGAUGAGAAAUUCAUAUAAAGCUCUGAUAAACUGCCCACUUUCAGCUAUGCGACCAAAUGAGGUUGCUGUGGUCCUUUGUCUUGAAUAAUGAAUACAUCCCCAAAGCAGGGAUGUUUGCUAAAUAGCAGGAUCCUCUGUAGUUCACUUCUUCUGCUUCACUGCUCUCGCACACUCAGUGAGAGAGGAGGGCACACAUGAGUCAGACUCAUGGUGCGUUCUCUGUUCACAGGAGGCAUUUGGCUACAUUCGAUAUUGAAAACCUGUAUUUUGAACUGUGUUGACAACAGUUGCAGCAGUCAAACCGUUUCAUUCAAACAAAAUGUGUUAUUAUGCCUCUUUUCGAGUCCUCAGAAUUACAACACUGUCGCUUGGCAAACAAAAGGCAAUUUCAGACAUAGUGGUUAUACUUGUUUUAGUGUUUCUAUUUCAACCUCUUUGUAGUCAGAAGGUGUAAUCUCUCAUGGACAUGUAGCUCAUAAGGGUCAUGGAUAGGGCACUUUCUGUUCUGUCUGGUAGAUGAUCCAGAGUAAUCUGUGCUUUCAGGAUAAAUGGUUUUACUCUUUCUGAUGUACUGUAGAUUAUUAUUAGAAUGUGCGUGCUUCUGUGUGUAGGUGUGUGCAAUAUUCAUGCGCAAUACUUAACAUUUAUCCGUGUCUUGUUCAGUAUGAUUAUUUUAAUAUGAGACAUGUGGAGAAGCCACAGAGCUUAGCUACAGAGCUUUGGACAAUACUGCCAUUGAGUAUGUGCUAUUUUAUUUUGUCAACCACUAUUCCAAAUUUCAGAUAUUUAAGUGGCAGAAUGGUGAACAUUUCAGAGCAUUUGUAUUUCAGGCAUACUUAUGUGUCAGUAAUGGUCAGGACAUUUAUUCUCGGAACACAUUCUGUGAUUAAAGUGUGUUUUCUGUUUCUAUUUGUAUUUUUUAAAUCAUCCAUCAAAAAAUGUAUUUUACAUCAUGAGGCUGCAGAUAAUACUUACUGUGAAUUGUGCUCUUUGUUUGGCAUUGCUGCAGAAUCACAACUAUUUAUCAUUGAUUUAUUUGCACCCCACAUUUCAGAAUUGGCAUUCCACCCAGUAAGCCGUUCACAGGGAUUUUGCCUCUUUGAGAGUCCUUGUCACCCAGGUGGAUUGGUAGGCAUGACUUUUUUGAUGUGUUUUUAAUGUGAAGAGGGUUGGCCCACAUCUGCAAGGUAUGCACCCAUCACUCUGUCAAAAAACUGCAUAACGAUUUUGCAUCCUGAAAUCUCCAAAGACUUCACAAGACCGCAGAAGACAUAUUGAUAUUCACCAGUAGGAGGCCUUUAAUUUUGCAUAAUAAAAUUGUGAUAUGAUACAUAU